rnacentral:rRNA from 1 species
UACGGGGGGGGGCAAGCGUUUGUUCGGAAUUACUGGGCGUAAAGGGCUCGUAGGCGGCCAACUAAGUCAGACGUGAAAUCCCUCAGCUUAACUGGGGAACUGCGUCUGAUACUGGAUGGCUUGGAUUUGGGAGAGGGAUGCGGAAUUCCAGGUGUAGCGGUGAAAUGCGUAGAUAUCUGGAGGAACACCGGUGGCGAAGGCGGCAUCCUGGACCAAUAUUGACGCUGAGGAGCGAAAGCCAGGGGAGCAAACGGG